AACGCACGAGACCUGCGGACCUGCGGAAGGAUCAUUAACAAAGCAGUGCGUGCGUGCGUGUGAUUGAUUGUGUGCCAGCAGUCCUGUUGCUGUUGUCACCUGUGGUGAUGGCAAUGGGCGGCAUCAUGCAUGAUCGAUCACACACACCACCACAUAUCCUACCACUCGUGUUUGGCCGUCAUUGUGCGUGUCCUUGAUCGUCAUCAUCGUGUAUGAUGACAAAGUGCGCGCAGUGAUGGU
rnacentral:misc_RNA from 1 species